ACAAAACAAAAGAAAAAGUCGGACGUGACCCAGUAAGGGAUUUCACAACACUAACGGGUUGUCUAGUUCAAGAGUUCAGACCCCGUGAUAGGCCAAAUUCGGCUGUUUGAAAGAAACUGACGGCGGAUUUCCCGCCCCAGGGGAAGCGAGGAAGGAGUCGGGCAUCCUGCUAUAUCCCGGGAAAAUUUCCGAGGGCAAACUACCCUAGCGCAAGGGCGGCAUCCUGAGCGCCAACCUUGGAUCGGUCGGAGAAGACCCGGGAAGGCCCGGGUCCCGGAGGAGGAAGGCCGGGGUCCCAGAGGGGUUUGUAAACUUCUCAAAUGAAGGGAUGGUGGCAGGGAAGGACCCGUGCACGAAGGAGCCCAGUGAAUGGAGGACACAGAUAGCCUGGCCACAGUCUCAGUUUCUGUUGGUAAAAAGCUGCCACCAAGAGUAUGGUGGUGGCUGUUCGCCCUUCCCCGGGCACAGAGGUGGGAUGGUUGAGCACAAAGUUCCACGUGGCUGAGAAAUAGGGCCUCAAAGAGAGGAAGAGGGCCUCCAGGAAGGGCUUCCAAAGGCUGGAGGACUUUGAAAAUAGGGCACCGUCUCUCUCAUCCCUUCUGAGUCAAGUGUGAAGAGAGAAGGAAGAGGCGAAUCCCCAUUCACUCUAGAGCUCUGGGGGGCCCCUGCGAUGUUGGCUGGGUAGUUGGGGGCACAGCUCCUUUGGCUCUGAGCCCACCUCACCAACAUUGACUGAACAGCCAUGUGUGCGAGGAGCCGUGCUGGUUUGGGAGCCAGGAAGCUGCUGACGCUGCCUCACAAGGGUAGGCGGUUGGGUAAGCCAAACGCCAAAGAACUGAGGACGCUGGGCCCAGCUCUCACACGGACACGUGCACUCACGCACGCAGCCCCCAGCCCACCCACUUGGAGUUUCCAUGAUUGGGUUCAUCUGGGCAGUAGUGAUGGUCAGGUGACAUGGUGGCGCACACCCACCCAUGGUCCUCCUCCAGCCCCUUUAGUUUUGGGUUGGGAACAAAAAUAAAGAUCCCGUUUUAUAGACCUUUGCUAGAC